GACGAACGCUGGCGGCGUGCUUAACACAUGCAAGUCGAACGGUGAAGCGCCUUCCUUUUUGGUGGGUGUGGAUGGGUGGCGAACUGGGUAGUAACACGUUAGUAACCUGCCCCCUUCUGCUGGAUAACCGCAUGAAAGUGUGGCUAAUACGUGAUAUUCUGGGUCUGUCGCAUGAUUGGUGUGGGAAGGAUUUUGUGUCGGUGGUGGAUGGACUCGCGGCCUAUCAGCUUGUUGGUGUGGUGAUGGCCUACCAAGGCGGUGACGAGUCGCCGGCCUGAGAGGGUGGACGACAACAGUGCGGAUGAGCCACGCAGACGCCUACUGCAGGAGGCAGCAGGGAGGAAUACUGCACGAUGGGCGCACGGAUGAUGCAGCGACGCGGCGGUAAUGAUGGUGGCCUUAGGGUUGUGAACCGCUUUCGGCAGUGAACCAGGCCUGACUCGUUUGUGCGUGGGUUGACGGUAGCUGGAUAAGAAGCGCCGGCUAACUACGUG
rnacentral:rRNA from 1 species